UAUUCUCAACGCCUUCAGGACAACACCUAGCUUCCCCCUCCGAUAACCCCCCUGACCACUCCCUGAUCCGGCCAAGCCAACUCUCUUAGGCUUUUUGUCCUGUCCUGGAUUCAUUUGGAGGAUUCACCAUCAAAUCUCUGUAAGAAACGCUCCCUGAAACCAAUUUAUUAGCAACAAAACAUGUGUUCCAAUGAACACAGCAGGCUGAAAAGAAAAAAUCCCAUUUAGGUAGGCAACAAGAGAAGGCCUAGUAUCUCUACGGCAUCUUUUUUUGGGGGGGGAGGAGGGAAGAGCCAAACCUCCAUCCUCGCUAGGGAGUUCCUGGAUGUCCUUCAGCUCAUGGCAAGAUACAGUUCAACACCCUUGAGUGCUGCUGAAGAGGGUCAGAGGCUGGUCAGGCCCAGCUAUUGUGACCUAAAGACCCUGGUCAGCCAGCAUAUCCCCUGAUGGCUAACUCUGAGAAGGGAGGGGUGGGCCCAUGGCUCAACCCCGUUAUGCCAUAAGUGCGCCUGCUCCAGAGGGUCAGCUCUGACCCAGGGAACUUCUAGUUUCUAACCCCUGCUACUGACUGUGCUAGUAUGGUCAAAGGGAAGGUCAAGAACUAUUGGAACUCUGUGUUCUGAACACAUCUUCCAAUCGCUCUCAUUUAUCUAAAGGUUGGCUCACCUCCUUCCAGUGUAGCCCCAAUGACCCCUUGUUUCUUCAUGCUUUUUUACUUUUUAUUGAAAAUAUAAGCCCUAUGUUUCUUCCCACAUAUAAGAAGCUGGCUUGCUUUGCAAAAUGAUUCUAAUAUUGCCAGGUGUUGAAAGAUUGCAAGAAGGUCAACUAGCCUGAAGCCACGUUAGCUCGCUAAUUAAUAGUGAAAGAAAGCAGACACACUAGCUGGCAGAGAUGUGUUUGUUUUUAUACUUAGGUCUAAUGUAAUUGCUCCUCACACUUAUUGAAAUGUCCUUGUGUAGAACUGAGAAAUAAGUUUCAGUUGUUUCUCACCUCCAAAGGAAAAACUAUUUUCUUUUUUCCUUCCUGCAGCCCCAUUAAAUGAAUUAUAAACUGUAUUUCUGUCUCUGCUGGGCCUCUCAGUCUUAAUCCAUUUUGCAUAACAGAGAGGCAAGGUGGCCUUGAAAAGACUAGAUGCUCCACGUAACAGAGUACUAAAAAUGCAACAUUUUGCAGGAGACAGAAGAAUGGAUUUAUACCUUUGUUUUAAAGCAAUGUGCGGUUAUGAUAUUGUAUAGUAGGUAAAAGCAUAUUUCUUAGACGAUGAAAAGUAAGCAUGAGGUGUUCAUGAGCUGUCCAUGUGCUCAGAUGACCAAUUGGAGCCUUGGAAAGGACUGGGCACAAGGGAAUCAUGGAUGGGAAAAUAUUAUAAAAUGUCUUUGUAACCUACUGCCCUGGGUCCAGAAUUUGGAGAAUUCUUCUGGGCCAUUUUAUGCUUUCUGCAGACUGCAAUAAAUCUUAUCACUUUG